rnacentral:rRNA from 1 species
AGCGAACGCUGGCGGCAGGCCUAACACAUGCAAGUCGAGCGGCCCUUCGGGGCAGCGGCGGACGGGUGAGUAACGCGUGGGAACGUGCCCUUUGGUACGGAACAACUGAGGGAAACUUCAGCUAAUACCGUAUGUGCCCUACGGGGGAAAGAUUUAUCGCCAUUGGAGCGGCCCGCGUUAGAUUAGCUAGUUGGUAGGGUAAUGGCCUACCAAGGCGACGAUCUAUAGCUGGUCUGAGAGGAUGAUCAGUCACACUGGGACUGAGACACGGCCCAGACUCCUACGGGAGGCAGCAGUGGGGAAUCUUGCGCAAUGGGCGAAAGCCUGACGCAGCCAUGCCGCGUGAAUGAUGAAGGUCUUAGGAUUGUAAAAUUCUUUCACCGGGGACGAUAAUGACGGUACCCGGAGAAGAAGCCCCGGCUAACUUCGUGCCAGCCGCCGCCGUAAAAC